UGGGAGAAUCUGUUAAGCUCAGGAGGGAUAGCGCCACUACGCUUAAACCAUUUUUAUUUUUUUUGGAAAUGGGUUUUUUUGGUUGUUGGUUGCGCUAUCCAUCCUGAGUUUCAUUGGUUCUUCUU
rnacentral:pre_miRNA from 11 species